UCUCUUGGACAGAAUGUUUCAAGAUGGGCAUGCACCCAAUCUGGAGAUUUACAAUGCACUGAUCGAAGCUUUUUGCACAUGCAAUGGUGAAAUGGAGGCAGUUGGAUUGAAGGAUGAGAUGAUUGAUAAAGGCAUUAGACCUGAUUUGGCUACAUACAGGGCUCUUAUUGCGUGCUUGUGUGGACUGAGUAGAAGCAUCGAUGGAGAAUGCUUGAUGAGAGAAAUGGUUGAAUCUGGCUUAGUGCCCGACUCGGUGAUUUGCGCCGUCUUGAUAAAUGGGUAUUGUAAGGAAAGAGAUUUUAAGAAGGCGGAAUCCCUUCUGUGCUACUUCGCAGAGAAAUUUCAUUUGUAUGAUAUUGCAAGCUACAAUGUGAUUAUCAAAGUAUACUGUGAUGAAGGCAGUGUGGCCAAAUCAUUAGAGCUGCAGGAUAGGAUGUUGAAAUUGGGUUAUGUACCAAAUAGCCAGACGUGCAAGUCUCUGAUCGAUGGAUUGUUGAGAAGUAGAGGACGUGGAUAGUUGGCCCUGCUCAUAUGAAUGAAAACCUCUCACCAUGACUCUGCCUCUUACAUACUCUAGAGCAAAUGAUUGUGGGAUCCUUGUAAUGAGAUCCAGUUUCAAGUCAGCAUUGGGUACUAUCUUCCUCAAUGGGCAAACAGUUCUUCUGGGCUAUUUAGUGGCCGUCUAUCUGCAAAUUGAGAUCUUUAACUUUGUAUGGUGAUCUUAAAAAUAAAAAAAAAUAAAAAAAAAGCUCAAACAGUGAAGAGAAACAAGUGUGAGAAGAAAACCGUACUGCUAACCUACUUCAGAUCCAGUUUCAAGUCAGCAUUGGGUACUAUCUUCCUCAAUGGGCAAACAGUUCUUCUGGGCUAUUUAGUGGCCGUCUAUCUGCAAAUUGAGAUCUUUAACUUUGUAUGGUGAUCUUAAAAAUAAAAAAAAAUAAAAAAAAAGCUCAAACAGUGAAGAGAAACAAGUGUGAGAAGAAAACCGUACUGCUAACCUACUUCAGGCCACCUCGAAGAGACAAAGGAAGAUCCAAGUCCUAAAAAAGAAGUUUGAAAACCUGAUAGGAAGAGGACAAGGCAGUGGCACUAAUAGGUGUUGAGAUGAUCUCACUUCAUUUGACAUUACCAGCAGAGAGGGCGUUUGCACAGAGAUGGAGUUGCUGAGAGAAGAAUUCUACAUGGUGGUUUUGGAAUAGGCCCGGGUGAGAAGACUUCAGCAAAUGAUGGUAGGGGUGGAGAAGUGCCUUUCUCUGAAUCUUUGUUUAUGGAAGAAGCUGCAGAUGAAGCCAUGAAUAUGUCAGUUGGAGCUGUUUGUCAUGCAAGAAGGAUUUUAGAAGGAAUUGGGUGGAAAGAGGUCUGUAUGGAGUGAACUCAUUUAUGGUCUCCUAAAGUUCUACAUACGGUUUGUUGGGAUGCGAGCUGGAUCGAUUGACUCAGAUAGGAUUAGCCCUUUCCGGUUUGUUUCUAGAAGCAGAUGAGAGGAAACCGAAUUACUGAGAGGGUAUUUGGGAAGUGGCCCUGAAGUGACCUGCAUCAUCACAGCACCUGUUAUAGGCAGCGGGUAAAAUGCUCCAUCUCUGUGAGAGCACCGUGUUGCGCAUGUGACAUCCACUCCAUUCAUCAGGUGCGGGCCUCAAAAUCAGGCCCUGAGGACAAAAAUCAGCCAGAUCCACAACACAUGCGGGCCACACUACAGAUAUCAUUGAGAGGGGAACACCAAUCAUAUGUUUGUUUGUGGGUCCUACCAUGGCUGCAUUUUCCAUCUAACAUGUUCAUCUGGUUUGCCCCAGCAGGAUGAACAAAACACUCCAAAAUAUUAGUCUGAUCCAAAUCUCAGGCAGGCUACAGAGCUUGCAUGUAGUUGUAGGCAUGUUUUUACAAUUUUCCCCAGUGGUGUAGCCCACUUUUUUUUUUUUUUUUUUCUUUCUUUCUUUUAUUUUUUCAUGAGACGAUAUUUGAUUAUGAGCACCUGAUGGAUGGAUUGGAUGUCACACACAACAUGGUGGAUCCCACAGAGCCUGUGUGUUUUACCCGCUGCGUACAACAUGUGGUACAGAGCAUCUCUUGCAUGAGUGCCACUCAUAUCCAUCCAGCUGCAUACGGAAUGAUCUGAAUGGUUCAUGUAGUAGGCAUCAUCAUGUGUGGGCGGUGGGCCACUGUCCUAAAAAACACAACUGGAAAUUUUACUCUCUUCUUUUUUUAUAUUUUUAUUUUUUAUUGUACACACCCACACCACAUGGGCACUCGAUCUCAUGAUCUGAGCAUUAAAACAGAGUUUGUCUACCACUGACCCAUGGAGUCAGACCCCAGCGAGGAGGAAUUUUUAUUAGUUUUGUUUAAUAUCGUAUUUUGAUGCUCUUAGCCGGAUAGUCUGCAUCAUCAAUCUACAUUAUUUUUGGACCACAACCCAUCCACAGUAGUGCCCACAAGAUGGGCUGUUUAGAUCACUCAAACAUGCAGCAAUGUGGGCCCCAUAAACCAUGUGUCACCUCAUUUGUUUUUGUGUUUUCAUCUGGUAGUAACUCCACUUUCUUUACUCCAUUCAGGGGGAGGCUCUCGGGAACAACACAAGGGGCUUGAAAGAACCAUUGCAAGCAGUUGGUAACAAAGGGUGUGUUGGAUUGAGGUGGAACAACCAUGACAGACUCUGAUCAAGCUACAGCACAAUCAGUAUGGGUGCGUUUGGAUGCGCAAUCGAGGCGGAUUGUUUUUAAGUAUAUGGCCGGUUCGUAAAACUUAUUUUGGAAGGAUGGUGAUUUGAUUGGAUGUUGUUUGUUAAUCGAAUUUAUUCUGCUACAGUCGCGGUGUGGAUUAUUUGCUAAUCGGCCCAAAUCAGUGAGGAUUGGUCAGCUGCUGUAGUGAUGUUUUUGUGAAAAUCUAAAGCUAUUUUUACAGUUUCAA